rnacentral:rRNA from 1 species
AGCGGAGGAAAAGAAACCAACAGGGAUUGCCUUAGUAGCGGCGAGUGAAGCGGCAAAAGCUCAAAUUUGAAAUCUGGUACUUUCAGUAUCCGAGUUGUAAUUUGUAGAAGCAACUUUGGUGAUGGUCUUUGCAUAAGUUCCUUGGAAUAGGACGUCAUAGAGGGUGAGAAUCCCGUAUAUGGUGAAGAACCCACACUAUGUAAAGUGCUUUCGAAGAGUCGAGUUGUUUGGGAAUGCAGCUCAAAGUGGGUGGUAAAUUCCAUCUAAAGCUAAAUAUUGGCGAGAGACCGAUAGCGAACAAGUACUGUGAAGGAAAGAUGAAAAGAACUUUGAAAAGAGAGUGAAAAAGUACGUGAAAUUGUUGAAAGGGAAGGGAUCUAAAUCAGACAUGGUAUUUUGUGAUCAACAGUCUUUCGGGAUUGUGCACUCGCAUUUUACUAGGCCAGCAUCGGUUAGAAGGGGGUAAAAAAGAUUUUGGAAUGUGGCUCCUCGGAGUGUUAUAGCCAAAGUUAAUUGCCCCAUUUCUGACCGAGGACCGCGUCUUUUGACUAGGAUGCUGGCGUAAUGGUUUUGAUCCACCCGU